AUUGAACGCUGGCGGCAUGCCUUACACAUGCAAGUCGAACGGUAACAGGUCUUCGGAUGCUGACGAGUGGCGAACGGGUGAGUAAUACAUCGGAACGUGCCUAGUAGUGGGGGAUAACUACUCGAAAGAGUGGCUAAUACCGCAUGAGAUCUACGGAUGAAAGCAGGGGAUCGCAAGACCUUGUGCUACUAGAGCGGCCGAUGGCAGAUUAGGUAGUUGGUGGGAUAAAAGCUUACCAAGCCGAUGAUCUGUAGCUGGUCUGAGAGGACGAUCAGCCACACUGGGACUGAGACACGGCCCAGACUCCUACGGGAGGCAGCAAUGGGGAAUUUUGGACAAUGGGCGAAAGCCUGAUCCAGCAAUGCCGCGUGCAGGAUGAAGGCCUUCGGGUUGUAAACUGCUUUUGUACGGAACGAAAAGCCCCGGGUUAAUACCCUGGGGUCAUGACGGUACCGUAAGAAUAAGCACCGGCUAACUACGUGCCAGCAGCCGCCGUAA
rnacentral:rRNA from 1 species